AACGAACGCUGGCGGCAUGCCUAACACAUGCAAGUCGAACGAGACCUUCGGGUCUAGUGGCGCACGGGUGCGUAACGCGUGGGAACCUGCCCUUAGGUUCGGAAUAACUCCCCGAAAGGGGUGCUAAUACCGGAUAAUGUCUUCGGACCAAAGAUUUAUCGCCUUUGGAUGGGCCCGCGUUGGAUUAGCUCGUUGGUAGGGUAAAAGCCUACCAAGGCGACGAUCCAUAGCUGGUCUGAGAGGAUGAUCAGCCACACUGGGACUGAGACACGGCCCAGACUCCUACGGGAGGCAGCAGUGGGGAAUAUUGGACAAUGGGCGAAAGCCUGAUCCAGCAAUGCCGCGUGAGUGAUGAAGGCCUUAGGGUUGUAAAGCUCUUUUACCAGGGAUGAUAAUGACAGUACCGGGAGAAUAAGCUCCGGCUAACUCCGUG
rnacentral:rRNA from 1 species